rnacentral:tRNA from 1 species
GGGAAGGUGGCAGAGCGGUUGAAUGCAUCGGUUUUGAAAACCGACGUGUUGAAAGACACCGGGGGUUCGAAUCCCCCCCUUCCCG